rnacentral:tRNA from 1 species
GGAGGAGUGGCAGAGCGGUUGAAUGCACCGGUCUUGAAAACCGGCAUACGUGUGAGCGUAUCGGGGGUUCGAAUCCCUCCUCCUCCGCCA